AGUCAACAUAACCAAAGGACGUGGAUAAACUCGGGAAACUGAGGCUAAACCGCGAUAGAUCAAGAUACCUGGAAUGGUUUUUGAUCAAAAUCUAUAUGGCCUUUGGAUUGGACCGCGUCCGAUCAGGCUGUUGGUGAGGUAAUGGCCCACCAAACCUAUAACCGGUACGGGCUCUGAGAGGAGGAGCCCGGAGAUGGGUACUGAGAUAAGGACCCAGGCCCUAUGGGGCGCAGCAGGCGCGAAACCUCUGCAAUAGGCGAAAGCUUGACAGGGUUACUCUGAGUGACUUUCGUUAAGAAAGUCUUUUGACACCUCUAAAAAUGGUGUAGAAUAAGGGGUGGGCAAGUCUGGUGUCAGCCGCCGCGGUAAUACCAGCACCCCGAGUGGUCGGGACGAUUAUUGGGCCUAAAGCAUCCGUAGCCGGCCUUACAAGUCCUCCGUUAAAUCCAGCUGCUUAACAGAUGGGCUGCGGAGGAUACUAUAAGACUAGGAGGCAGGAGAGGCAAGCGGUACUCAGUGGGUAGGGGUAAAAUCCGUUGAUCCAUUGAAGACCACCAGUGGCGAAGGCGGCUUGCCAGAAUGCGCUCGACGGUGAGGGAUGAAAGCUGGGGGAGCAAACCGGAUUAGAUACCCGGGUAGUCCCAGCCGUAAACGAUGCAGACUCGGUGAUGGACUAGCUUUAUGCUGGUCCAGUGCCGCAGGGAAGCCGUUAAGUCUGCCGCCUGGGUAGUACGGUCGCAAGACUGAAACUUAA
rnacentral:rRNA from 1 species